UGGCGCCCUGGGCUGUGUCUGUAACAUCUGAAAGGUCAGGGACAUCUGAGAGCCCACGUGCCUGUAAACAAGUCUGACUAUUAGGUGAAAAGGCCAACGCACAGUCCAAAGGAAGGAACCAGACCGCGUUCUGCCUUUUCCUUUAGCUUGCCAGCAAGCAGCUGUUCUCCGGGCCUCUUCUUCCCAUACACCAGCUGAGUGGGAAGAAGUAUUUUUACCCCUCUCUCUCCUUCCCACUUCGCCAUGCCAGGGAUGCGUCAUUUCUUUCUUUACCCCUCUGGUGAAGCUGUUGGUUAAUAAGAGCUGGGGGAGGGGUGGGAGUUCUGAUCUUCAGGGCCCUCGGGUCUUGUGUGGAAAGUGAGGGGUCCUUUCCGGUCCAGCUCAAACGUACCGACAGCCUCUGAGCACCCAAGUUCUGCGUUUAGUUCUGCUGAGUCUUUUUUCUUUCUUUCUUCUACUAUCUUAAUGUGGAAGUGCUAGCUCCCCAGAGGAAACACCCCAGCCAGGAAGUGGAUACGGGAGAGAAGUAAGGGAUGCUGGGGAGGAAGUAAGGGUGAUGAGAAUGGAGACACCAAACACAGAGGUUUGCAGCCUUAACCCGCAUGAAGACGACACGAGGAGCUUGCAUAAAUUCAGAUCCCCAGAUCUCCCCGCCUACUUGAAUUUGGAUUCAGUAGCUCUAGGAUGGAAGUACUGGACCCCAGAAUCUACAUGCUGGCGCCCUGAUAAUAUCAUAAAACGGUUCUCACUGCCUUGCGUUUUUAAAGCAUGUCGUAGGAUGCUGCUCGACUGUCCAGGAAGAUAGUACUCACCCAUCAGCUGUACGGGUUCACAGGCAUGUCUGAGAAAAUGCCUGCCCUGGUCGUCUCCAGAGUUUAGUUCCCUCAUUCUCCACUCUAGCCUGCAUUGUGUACCACCCGGACUGGGAUGCUGGAUAAAGAUGAGAUGCUGAAUAAAGAUGCUGAAUAAGGAUGGGUUUGUCUUUGUAUCUGCAGGAGGCGAACUACCCAUGUAAUCCAGGGCUAUUAUUGUAAAUAAAAUUUCCCACUUUUCA